rnacentral:rRNA from 1 species
UUUUUUUGUGGAGGGUUCGAUUCUGGCUCAGGAUGAACGCUGGCGGCGUGCUUAACACAUGCAAGUCGAACGGGAUCCAUCGGGCUUUGCUUGGUGGUG